UUAAUGUGUGAAGUGUAUGUAAACCCUAGGCUAUUGUAGACAUAAUGUAGGAGCCAUAUACUUUUGGAAGGAAUAAAGUUCAAACAAAUGCUCAAUGGCCAUGAAUGUGGGAGCCAAUCACAAAGCUGUUCAUCAUGAAGAUGGCAAAAAGAUAACCAGAUGGGCAUGAAGGAAGAUAACAAUGAAGUCACUUUGAAGACGAGGAUUUUAUCUCUUGAGCUUCUGCAGGGUUUGUUGGAAGGAGUUGGUCAUCCAUUUACUAGGAACUUCCAUUUUAUUGAUUCACUGAAAGCAUACCUAUCAAUCUAUCAUAUGCUUUGUUGCUAGCUUCAAUUUCGCCGUCCCCUAUCAUAUUACAGGUUUACAUAUAUUCUUUAUCGGAUUUAGGUAGAAUAUUCUAUGAGAUUUUUGCC